CCCUAGUAACGGCGAGUGAAGCGGCAACAGCUCAAAUUUGAAAGCUGGCCUUCGGGUUCCCAUUGAAAUUUGUACAGGAUGCUUUGGGUAAAACGCCAGUCUAAGUUCCUUGGAACAGGACGUCAUAUAGGGUGAGAAUCCCGUAUGUGACUGGAAAUGUUAACCUAUGUAAAGCUCCUUCGACGAGUCGAGUUGUUUGGGAAUGCAGCUCUAAAUGGGAGGUAAAUUUCUUCUAAAGCUAAAUAUUGGCGAGAGACCGAUAGCGCACAAGUAAAGUGAUCGAAAGAUGAAAAGCACUUUGGAAAGAAAGUUAAAAAGCACGUGAAAUUGUUGAAAGGGAAGCGCUUGCAAUCAAACUUGUUUAAACUGUUCGGCCGGUCUUCUGACCGGUUUACUCAUUUGGACAGGCCACAUCAGUUUCGGCGGCCGGAUAAAGGGUCUGGGAAUGUGGCCUCCACUUCGGUGGAGGUGUUAUAGCCCAUGUGUAAUACGGCACCGGGACUGAGGUCCGCGCUUCGCUAGGAUGCUGGCGUAAUGGUUGUAACACCCGUCUUGAAACACGGACCAAGGAGUCUAACAUCUAUGCGAGUGUUCGGGUGUCAAACCCCUGCGCGUAAUGAAAGUGAACGGAGGUGGGAACCGCAAGUGCACCAUCGACCGAUCCUGAUGUCUU
rnacentral:rRNA from 1 species